GGAGACACCAGAGCAGCUGAGGGAAAUGAGAUCUGUAUCUGGCAGAGGGGACGAGACCCACCUGGACCAUGGCGGCUUUAAUGUCACUUGUCCUUCUUAAGAAACAAGAUAAACCUCUCUGUCUUCAUAGUCUAGCCCAUGAUGACAGGAGGAACGGGCUGUGUGCUGCUGUCCAGCUAUAGGCCCCUGAACGACUCCCCCAGAUGUGUGCAGAAGCGUAAGCACUCGUGUGCACAACGUUUGUGCAGCAUGUGGCUUCUCUGUGUCAGGCACACAGAGGU
rnacentral:lncRNA from 1 species